CCAGUGAGUCGCGCUGAGUGAAGGAGGCCAGGUCCAGCGUCCCCGCGCUCCUGUUCCAAGGACUCCUGCCUCGCUGCCCAUGAAGUCUCUCCUCUCCUUCCUGCUCCCCAUGGCUGCUCUGGCUGCUGCAGAGCUGGGCGUUCCAGAGGAAGAAGCAAGGAUACAUGGGACGGCUUCGGAGGUCCAUGUCCCAUGCAAUCUGAAAGGAGUCAUGCUGACCUGGUACUGGAUUCCAUUGUACCCCAGGUGUGCUGACAUCAAGGGGAAUGAGAAGAAGACCAUUUGCUCGUUGAUUUCUAAUCAAACACAUAAGGACCCAAAAAACAGAUUUGAGAUGAGAUCCGAAGUGAAGCUGCAAGAAGGAAACAGCAGGGCCACCCUUAUCCUCAGAGCCCUCUACAUGAACGACUCUGGCGAUUUCUACUGCUCCAACAGCAAGAAGGAUUCACCAAGGGUCACAGUCACUGUGAAAUCUGGUAAUCAAAAUGGGAUUCUUGUGGAGUAUUUCAAGUGUACGCGGCAUAAGUAUUGGCAAGCCAACCUAACCUGUAACUCCUGUGAAUACAAGAGAGAUGCUGAAGUUCAUCAAGAUGGUGCCAUUAAGUGGACCUUAAAUGGCCAGCCUGCUCCUAGUACAAUAUUAACCCAGAAGUCAAGGAAUAUCGUUCAAGUAAGAUUAAACCCUAAACAUUCAUAUGGACUCUGGAAAUGCAGUGAUCCGGUGUGCCCAAGACAAUCUGAUGGCUACUGUUUAGAAAACGAUCCAAAAACUUUAGAGGGAUGUGUGAAUAAAGAGACUUCCAUGUUUACGCCGUCCCCACCAGAAAAGACAAGCUUUGACUCAUACGUGAUUGGGGGUGCCUGUAGCGGACUCCUGGUCCUCCUCUUGGUGGGCGCUGUUUUUGUCGUCUGCAGAAAGCGUCAGUCACGCAGCCUCAGCUCCAGUGAGACAACAAAGGAACCGGAAAUACAAGGGACAAAACACUCAGCUGGGGAGAUCUCUAUGAGGUGAACCUAUUUCAAGAACGGACGGGUUCAGAACCAUGACUAACUCCCAUAAAGCUCGAAUAAAAGCUGCAAUGGAUAAGGAGCCCCACUGAGUAGGCGUCACCAGCCUCUCCUGCCAGCACCUGCUCGGUGGGAUCCUCCCUGUAAACAUAGUUGCUGACUAUGGUGGUAGCAGGUGCAGUAAAACUUGCUCAGCAGAGCUCGUUCUAUCACAUUUCUGAUGCCCUUUUUAAAUCUUAGUCCCAGAAGGAUCUCCAGAGAGAAGAAACAGGGAGGCAAGAACAGUGGUUGAUCACAGCUCCACCGAGGGGGGAUCGGAAGGAAUCCAGUAUUCCACAUUACAGUUCAUGGAAACUGGUGGGGUUGAGAUCCAUAUGGAUAAGGACACUGUCACAUAUGAGGAAUUGUGCAGCUGCGACUGAUUGGGACCACUGGCCCACUCGCCUUGUUCGUCACCUCACUGAACAUGGCAAGAAGAAACCUUUUCUGCAGAGAGCUUAUGACGGAUUCCUUCCGGCAGUUUAGAGCACAUGGCUGCCUGGGGAGUGCUGGACUUGUAGGAUCUGUUUCUGACUAAGAUGCAUAUGGUUGUGUCAUUAAUUGCUUAAGAUGCCAGGGCACCUGCUAUUGCAACAGUCCAAGGAAAUGUUAGCCUGUGGGCAGCCUAUAGGGGGAAGGAUGACUUGGCAGCAGCGAACCUUGGCGGGGGGAGAGAAGGCAGAAAAAUGGCGGAAAAGAUGCUGUGCUUCUUCCUUUACCACAUGCCUGCACAGACCAGUCGCUGAGGAGCUUGGCCUCGUGGAGCCCCUGUACCCAUCAUGCUCGAGGGGUGCUGUGGACAGCUGACCUGACCCCCGUCUGAAUGGAGUGCUGGACUGGAUGGACCACUGGUCUGAUCCAGCAUGGUUUUUCUUAUGUUCUGAGUCUGGAAAGAAAUUUUCUCUCUUUGGAAUACAAAACAUGGAACGUG